AUAGGUGUCUUUCUCUCUCUCUCUCUCUCUCUCUCUUUGUAUCUGUACCUGGUGGGGACUGAGGAUAGAGAGGUAAAAAGGAUUCCAGAAAAAGAAGUGAAUUUUGCUCUAAUAAAAUUGAAAUGCAGAUUUCUUCUUCUGCUUCAUUACAUUCUUAAAAAUCCUCUCCUUUCCCACUUUCUCCUCUGUGGUCUUCACAAACUAGGUUUCCGGCGGUGACUGCGGCGACGCCUGGGCCUGUAGAUCUUACGUAGUACAUUCAACAAACGCCACACACUCUGCCGCAUGGGACAAUCAUUCUAGAGGUAGAGGAGGAAAGCUACGAGGAAAAGAGAUGAUUAAGAGGAAAACAGUGUUGUUCUUGCUCUUGGUUACGGUUCUUUCUCCGAUUGUUCUUUAUACUGAUACACUCGGGAGAAGCUUCAAGACUUCCUUCUCAGCUGCAGACGAGUUCGAUGAGGAUGUUACAGCUCUUACUCUGGGCGGCGUCGACGCCAAACUAAAUCUCCUUCCCCAGGAGUCCUCCACGACACUUAAAGAGCCAAUCGGAAUCGUUUAUUCCGAUAAUGAUUCGCUGGAUGUCGAUGAAUCCGCUGCGGAUUUGCAAUUGGGGGGAUCGGUGGAGCAUAAAACUAGAGUGUUGUCUACAACAUAUGAAGAAGGAGACAGAUCUCAAAGAGAAAACCCCAUACGACAGGUGACGGAUGGAAAGGAUGACAACCUGCAGAGGGGAUCUGAGCUCACAUCUCACAAUGCCUCUCAAAAUUCGGAAACAGAACAUGGGCAACAAUCUGCUCAAACCUCUGGCAAAGGUGAUCAUAAAGAACCUGUGAAGACUAGAAACGAGAAACCAAUUGACCAAACAGUUAUACUAGAUGCUCGGGUCCAGCAACUUAAGGAUCAGCUCAUCAGGGCAAAGGUAUUCCUUUCCCUUUCAGCUACACGAAACAAUGCCCACUUUAUCAGGGAGCUUCGAGCGCGGAUGAAGGAAGUUCAACGAGCACUUGGGGAUGCAACCAAGGACUCUGAGCUUCCCAAGAAUGCCUAUGAAAAAUUGAAGGGAAUGGAGCAAACAUUGGCCAAAGGCAAGCAAAUCCAAGAUGACUGUGCUGCUGUGGUAAAGAAGCUCCGAGCUAUCCUUCACUCAGCAGAAGAGCAGCUUCGAGUGCACAAGAAACAGACCAUGUAUUUGACUCAGUUAACUGCAAAAACACUUCCUAAAGGUCUUCACUGUCUUCCUUUACGCCUUUCAACUGAGUACUAUAACUUGGAUUCUGCUCAGCAGCAAUUCCCAAAUCAAGAUAAAUUAGAAGACCCCAGGCUAUUCCACUAUGCACUAUUCUCGGAUAACAUAUUAGCUGCGGCAGUUGUUGUGAACUCAACUGUUUCCAAUGCAAAGGACCCUUCAAAGCAUGUUUUCCAUAUUGUUUCUGAUAGACUCAAUUAUGCAGCAAUGAGGAUGUGGUUUCUUGCAAAUCCACCAGGCAAAGCCACCAUUCAGGUUCAGAAUAUCGAUGAAUUUACAUGGUUAAAUUCAAGUUAUAGUCCAGUUCUCAAGCAGUUGGGUUCUCCAUCCAUGAUAGAUUACUACUUCAAGGGUCAUCGUUCUAAUUCUGAUUCAAAUUUGAAGUUCCGGAACCCAAAGUACUUAUCUAUCCUAAACCAUCUCCGCUUUUACCUGCCAGAGAUCUUCCCAAAGCUCAACAAAGUGCUGUUCUUGGAUGAUGAUAUAGUUGUGCAGAAGGAUCUCACCGGCCUUUGGUCAAUUGAUCUGAAAGGGAAUGUUAAUGGUGCAGUUGAGACUUGUGGAGAAAGCUUCCAUCGAUUUGAUCGUUAUCUCAACUUCUCAAAUCCUCUCAUUUCAAAGAAUUUUGAUUCCCAUGCUUGUGGAUGGGCAUAUGGAAUGAAUAUCUUUGAUUUGGACCAGUGGAAGAAGCAACAUAUCACAGAGGUGUACCACACAUGGCAGAAACUGAAUCAUGACAGACAAUUGUGGAAAUUGGGAACUUUACCUCCUGGGCUCAUAACAUUUUGGAAGCGCACUUUCCCCAUAGAUCGGUCUUGGCAUGUCCUGGGCCUUGGCUACAACCCUAGUGUAAACCGUAGAGAAAUUGAACGAGCAGCUGUCAUACACUACAAUGGUAACUUGAAACCAUGGCUUGAGAUAGGCAUGCCAAAGUUCCGAAACUACUGGGCAAAAUUCGCCGAUUUUGAUAACGAGUAUCUGCGAGACUGCAACAUCAACCCAUGAGUAUUUCCAAAUGUUAAAUAUCCCCCAACACUUUGUAUGUCAAUAUAUCUUUUAACAGAUGAGUUCACUGCAAUGCUUGAACAAACCUUCUUCAACUGAACAUCCACCUGGGCUAUAGCUGUACAAUCUGCUACUUGUUUUACUUUUAUGUUUUUCCUGAUUCUCUGAAGUUUGAUAUAUUUUAGCCCACCGACAGCUGGUGGUAGAAGGGAAAAAUACUUGGUGGACCCUUGCUCACAAGUUUCUUUUGUUGUUCCUUCCCUUUAGCUAAGAACGUACAAGACCUUACCUACCAGAACUUACCCAAUUUAUGAAAAUAUUAAAGAGUGGGUGUGGAUGGGUUAAAAGGAAAGCUAGGAUUGGUGUUGGAAAAGGAUAGUUGAUGGGGUUGGGGCAGGAAGUGUUGGGUUUUUGCGCAUGACAGGCUGUUGCACAUCACAGCUACAGUUUGAAAGAAAGGCACAUGGUGGGGGCCCAUCAUAGACCUCUAAAGGGACAUCCAUCACUGUCCCUACCCCAAAUUUGCUGGUGGCGUGAGCUUCUGUCGCUAGAAGUGGACAAGGGAAACAGGACCCGCAUGGGUACAGUUGUCGCCACCUUUUCAUCCCUGGUUCUUCACGGGUUUUCUCCUUUACCUAUUUGUUUUUUUUUUUUUUGUACGUAUCACCAUGUUUAGUUGAAAGAUGAAUGAAUUGAUUGUGAUUAUUCAA